UGGUGGAGCGAUCUGUCAGGUUAAUUCCGAUAACGAGCGAGACCUUUCCGCUAAAUAGCAUCGUGAACCAUUUAGUUGGUAGUACGAUGAAUGUGUGUUUAUGUGAUGUGUGGUCGUGUUCUGCACGUAUCACCAUCCAUAGCAUAUAUUUGUUGACUACCAAUGUCACAGAAGCUUCUUAGAGGCACUUCUGGCGUUUUAGCCGGAUGGAGAAAGGCAAAAACA
rnacentral:rRNA from 1 species